rnacentral:rRNA from 1 species
CUGACGAGCGGCGGACGGGUGAGUUAAUGCAUAGGAAUCCUGCCCGGUAGUGGGGGAUAACCUGGGGAAACCCAGGCUAAUACCGCAUACGUCCUACGGGAGAAAGGGGGCUUCGGCUCCCGCUAUUGGAUGAGCCUAUGUCGGAUUAGCUAGUUGGUAAGGUAAUGGCUUACCAAGGCAACGAUCCGUAGCUGGUCUGAGAGGAUGAUCAGCCACAUCGGGACUGAGACACGGCCCGAACUCCUACGGGAGGCAGCAGUGGGGAAUAUUGGACAAUGGGGGCAACCCUGAUCCAGCCAUGCCGCGUGUGUGAAGAAGGCCCUCGGGUUGUAAAGCACUUUCAGCGAGGAAGAACGCCUGGUGGUUAAUACCCAUCAGGAAAGACAUCACUCGCAGAAGAAGCACCGGCUAACUCCGUGCCCAGCAGCCGCGGUAAUACGGAGGGUGCAAGCGUUAAUCGGAAUUACUGGGCGUAAAGCGCGCGUAGGUGGCUUGAUAAGCCGGUUGUGAAAGCCCCGGGCUCAACCUGGGAACGGCAUCCGGAACUGUCAGGCUAGAGUGCAGGAGAGGAAGGUAGAAUUCCCGGUGUAGCGGUGAAAUGCGUAGAGAUCGGGAGGAAUACCAGUGGCGAAGGCGGCCUUCUGGACUGACACUGACACUGAGGUGCGAAAGCGUGGGUAGCAAACAGGAUUAGAUACCCUGGUAGUCCACGCCGUAAACGAUGUCGACCAGCCGUUGGGUGCCUAGAGCACUUUGUGGCGAAGUUAACGCGAUAAGUCGACCGCCUGGGGAGUACGGCCGCAAGGUUAAAACUCAAAUGAAUUGACGGGGGCCCGCACAAGCGGUGGAGCAUGUGGUUUAAUUCGAUGCAACGCGAAGAACCUUACCUACCCUUGACAUCCUGCGAACCCGGAAGAGAUUCCGGGGUGCCUUCGGGAACGCAGAGACAGGUGCUGCAUGGCUGUCGUCAGCUCGUGUUGUGAAAUGUUGGGUUAAGUCCCGUAACGAGCGCAACCCUUGUCCUUAUUUGCCAGCGAGUAAUGUCGGGAACUCUAAGGAGACUGCCGGUGACAAACCGGAGGAAGGUGGGGACGACGUCAAGUCAUCAUGGCCCUUACGGGUAGGGCUACACACGUGCUACAAUGGCCGGUACAAAGGGCUGCGAGCUCGCGAGAGUCAGCGAAUCCCUUAAAGCCGGUCUCAGUCCGGAUCGGGAGUCUGCGAAACUCGGACUCCGUGGAAAGUCGGAAUCGCUAGUAAU